rfam:Ictidomys tridecemlineatus contig021528, whole genome shotgun sequence.
GGGGAUAUAGCUCAGUUGGUAGAGUGCUUGCCUCUCAUGCACAACACCCUGGGUUUAAUCCCCAGCACCACCA